rnacentral:tRNA from 2 species
GGAUGCGUAGCAUAACUGGAUAGUGCACUACGUUACGGCCGUAGAGGUUGGGGGUUCGAAUCCCUCCGCGUUCACAA